GGGGCUGUAAUGGUUUCGACAGGGUGGCGAAAGCUGCUCCGUGAUGCAGGUCGAGAGUGAGUCACCUCUCGUUAAUAUCGGCUCAAACAAAAUAGUAAAUGCGAACAACAUCGUUCCUUUCGCUCGUGUAAAAACUGUUGCUACUGUAGCCUAAAAAACUACUCUAUAAGCCCAGUUUAGAGCGUAUGCAACCUAACUCCGUUAACGGUAGCAUAACAACCCCCAACGGAUGCCCUAGCUAAACGUUUCUAGUCGGCUAGCUGGGAAAGAAAUUACUAGAAAAUCCCCCCAUUUGGGAUAAAGAUGGUUCCCGCCCUGAGGAUCAGAAGGGAUAAACCUGUGAACGAUCGGAAGGUAAAUAACCAUUUUGGACGGCAGUUCGAUUCUGCCCAGUUCCAUUA
rnacentral:tmRNA from 1 species